AAACUAAACAAAACUAUUUAUAGACAAGAACUGUCCCAAGUUCUACCGACGACAACCAACCACAACCAGGAAAGUCUCCAUGUUUAGGAUCAUGACUACAGUGAACUAGUCAGCUAUCCACAUCUCCUCACCUGUCAAAAAUGUCUGUGUGGGUGUGAGCUAAUAAUCCAUGUGCUCACAACAAAUAAUCUAAUUCAUAUGAAAUGAUAAAGAAACAUCAUACAUCAUAAAUAUCCAGCAAUCAAUAAUACCAAUAAUAAAUAAUGUUAAUGCAUAAUGCAUCACCCACAUGUGCGCGCAAAUUUAGAUAAGUAGCCCAAAUAUCGACGGCUCGUUAUCCGGAUAUCCCUACUCGACACCCUAUAAGAUCAACCCACACGUGUUUAAUCUUUAGUUUUGCCCCCACUCGGCAUAACCUUUAUUAGUGCAAUGCAAAGCACACAAUAUAAAUGACAAUGCUUGCACGUCAUCUCAUUUUAAAUCUCAUCAACACUAUAUUCAAGUCACCUCAUGUAAUCUUAUCAACAUCCACAUUUUAUUAAAGAAGUCAAUCAAGUCAUAUGAAUUAAGACUAAUCUGUAUUUAAUCUCACAUGUCACCGCACACACGCCACAGUCAACUCACGUCUGAGAUUGCCUUGAAUGCCUUCUCCUUCCUUAACUCCUUGUUUAAUCACAAUUUAUCAGUGCACAAGUACAUUAAUAUAACUCAAGCCUAUAAAUUUAUAAUUUAAUCCAUGGAUUCUCACUAAAUGGUAUUAAUUAUACUCCAUUAAAUUUUAAGGCAAUUGGACAAGUUUUCACCAUCAAUGGUCACAAACAUGCUCAAGAUUCUACCGAUACCACUUUAUGGACCACGUUUAUUUUACUUUAGAAUAGCUAAAUUGACCCAUAAUCGGAUCCGGAAUACUGAAAAACAUAAAAAACGACUAUUCACACGACUAAAAAUUAUCCGAUUGACAACUUUUACAUAGAGUGCACGAUAGUUCUUGUGGUCUCCAACCACACGUGAUAAACUGCUAUGUCCUCUGUUUUUUGUAACUCAACUUCCAUAUAUGGAAGUGUAUAUAUAUAUAUUAUAUACUUGAAUUCCAGAAAACCAUAAAACUAUCCCCAUUAGUUAAUUUUAAGUAAAAUAAUAUACACAAUUCUCCUACGUUAAAAGAAUUAAAACAUUUCUUCAACUCUCUCUCUCUUCAAAACCCAUUUCUUAAAAACAAACAUUUACAAAAUCACAAUAGCCUGAAUACUAACAGAUUUCAACAAAAUCAAAUCACAGAUGUGUUUAUAAACUAAAUAAUUACAAUUAAUUAAUCAAAAAUAGGAAUGAAUUUACUCACAUACAAUGUUUACAUGCAAACCCUUCUUUUCCUUCUCUUCUCUCAGUCUCUCUCUCUCUGUUCUCUUCUUU
rnacentral:lncRNA from 1 species